CGUGAAUGAAUUUUCAGGCAAUAUCUAGAUACUGUCCACAAUAUAGUCUAUUCUGUAUUGAUUCACAUCUUCCUUUAGGCUGUUAUAAAAAGUCUAUUACAAAAAGUAUAACCUCAUUUUUUUCCCAAACAUUUACUAAAGCCCAAUUUUCUCCUCUCAGUUAUUAUUCCGCAAACGCAUUGUUAGAUAUAGAAAAUAACAUAGCAGCACAGCCUAUUUGCAGCCAUAAAUUCCUUUUUGUUUCAUGUAUAUAAUGGUUUUGAGUUUUUAUUUUGCAGUUGGGCUACUUAAUAUUUUAAUACUUAAUAUAAAAAACAUAAACUGCAAAUCUGUGGUUGUGUUAAUGAAGGACAGAAUAUAUGACAAUGAACUUCAUUUUUUCAAUUCUGCUAUUCUGAAUGGUUACAGUUGAUUAACUCAAAAUGACUGACAUUAUCAUUUCACAGAUAUGUGUUAAAGGGAUAAUGAUUACAUAUGAGAGACUACAAAUGAAAAAUCAUAUCUAAGAAGCCCGAUUAGAAAAAUAAUUGCAUAGACGGAGCAGAUCCUAGAGAUAAU